AAUGAAUUGCCUGAAAAAAGGGUUAACCUUGAUAGGGUAAAUCAUAUAAUUAAACAUUAUAUUCAUUA
rnacentral:tRNA from 1 species